rnacentral:rRNA from 1 species
CUUCAAUGCGCGAAAGCGUGAGAGGGGAAUUCCAAGUGCUCAAGUUUUAGUUGGGCUUUUGCUAAGUGUAAAAAGCUUGGCGAAUAAGGGGUGGGCAAGACUGGUGCCAGCCGCCGCGGUAACACCAGCGCCCCGAGUGGGGAUCGCGAUUAUUGGGCCUAAAGCGUUCGUAGCAGGUUCUGUAAAUCCUUUGUGAAAUGGGCAGGCUUAACCUGUCCGCGCGCAGAGGAGACUGCAGGACUCGAGAUCGGGAGAGGUCAGAAGUAUUCCUUGGGUACCGGUAAAAUGGGUUAAUCCAGGGAGGACUACCAAUGGCGAAGGCAUCUGACUAGAACGAUUCUGACUGUGAGGAACGAAAGCUAGGGGAGCAAAACGG